AUGACUUUGAUCUGCGUCCUCAUCUGGACUCUCCUCUGCUGCUGCUUCACAGGGUCCAGAGGACAGGUCACAGUAACUCAGCCUGCAGCAGUGACAUCUGAUCUGGGAGGAACCGUCACCAUUAGCUGUAAAACCAGUCAUCAGUUUUGGGGCUGUAGCAGUGCCUACUGUUUAGCCUGGUACCAGCAAAAUGAUGGAAACACUCCUAAAUUACUGAUUUACUACACAAAUCAACGCAUGUCAGGGACUUCAGAUCGUUUUUCAGGAAGUGGAUCUGGGACUGACUUCACUCUGACCAUCAGCAGGCUCCAGGCUGACGAUGCUGGAGUUUAUCACUGUCAGGGUGGUAACACAGUCAACAGUCAGUAUGUGUUCGCACAGUGA